rnacentral:piRNA from 1 species
AUUUCCGUGGAGAGGAACAAAUCUGAG